GGGAAAAGCCAGCGCUGAAUCUAAUACCCACGGAUAUUACGACAUGUGGCGUUGGGAUAAGACAUUGCCUGCAAGUAAUGAUCAUCCAAGUCCCUCUUGAACGGGGCCAUAGCCCAUGGAGGGUGCUAGCGCCGUACGAUGAUUUUGUGCGUCUUAUCCGUAGAGUCGGGUGCUUGGGAGUGCAGCCCAAAUCCGGUGGUAACUCCAUCUAAGGCUAAAUAUGACCACGAGACCGAUAGCGAACAAGUACCGUGAGGGAAAGUGAAAAGAACUGAAGAGAGAGUUCAAUAGUACGUGAAACCUCUCGGGGGUAAGCGGGCAGAAUCUACAAGUAUUGAGAUUCAGGCUUAGUUUGAUGGCUGAGAGAAGCUGAUCAUUGUGUGCUUUCUUGAUAAUGCGCCGCAUUUCUCCUUAUCGGGUUGCAUGCAACUGAUAGGUGUUGAAUUACUGUAAAUCCUUGUUAAGUUUUUUUUCCAAAUACUUUUGCGGUGAACAGGCGUUCGCGGUCAAACAUUUUGACGAGUCGUGUACAUGUUUUGUGUGGACGGGUAACCGUAUGAUUGUCGGUUGGCUCUGUUCAUUGCAAUCUAAAGCAUGUGUGAUCUGCCUGUCCCGUCUUGAAACACGGACCAAGGAGUCUAACAUGUACGCGAGUGAUUGAGAACUCGCGUAAUGAAAGUGAGAUGAGGAGAGAUCUGCGCACCUC
rnacentral:rRNA from 1 species